UUCAUAUUGACUAUGAACGGAUUAUGAACUAGUUUAAAGCACACGACUGAGAGAGCAUAAUAUAAUAAUUUGAAAAAAUACAACAUGUGUUACAAAGAUCUCGCAAGUCACAACUCUGCUUAAGAUUGUGAAUUUACGUGGAUUAUCAUCCCAAUCUUGCGGUCUCCUACCUCCAGAAUAUAGUGCACGUGCAAUGUUGAUAAAAGACAGAGUAAGACGAAGUGUGACGUCAUGUCUAUGUGUUGACGUACGUCAAGAUACGACUGUGACAGAGGAGUUCGUUUUAUGCAACAAAAUAGAAGCAAUAUUAAAAUAUGGCGUGAAAGAAGUCCAAUCUUACCAGGAAUAGGUCGGAAAGUGGGCUCGCAAAACUGAAACUUAUAAUGUACAAACUUUUACAUAAAUAUAAAAUAAACUUAUCAACAAUCAUGGUAUUGUUGUGGAUUUUUUUUUCAGAUCAGGGUCUUUUUAAAGCAAAAAACAAAACACAACAACAAAACACAACAUGUGAACAGGCACAAAAAGCCAUGCAUGGGAUAAUCAGAAAAAUAAGGCAACUCACCAGUUGAUUUAUUUGAUAAGAUUGUAGUUCCAGUGUUACUUUAUAUGGAUGUAAAGUUUUGGGUAAAGAAAACAUAGAUAUUAUUGAACGUGUACAUUUAGAAUUCUUAGAAGUAUAUUUUAACUUACCCUUUGUAUAUCAAUAUACGAGUUCAUGUAUAUACAAGAAAGGUAUCUUACUGGGUAAAAUUGUUUAAAUGCCCAGAAAAUAAAAUUGUAUUUGUUCUGUAAAGGUAUUUAUUUAUGCAUCACAAUAGUAGACACAUGUCAAACUCUUGGAUCCCGUGUAUUAAGAAAAUAUUAGACAUGAGUGGGUUCUCUAUUAUCUGGUCUGAAUAAGAUAUCGUAAAUGUAUCCAUUGUAAUGCAAAGGUUUACAAGAGCAAUUUAUUAAAACAUGAUUUAGUGAUAUAAACGAGUCAUCAAAAGGCCAGAUAUACAGAAUAUUUCGAACAUCAAAUCAUCAUCUCUCAGUGUAGACUGGGAGACGGUACAAUAUCCCUCUCAAUGAAAGAAUAUGUAAAUUAUGUAACUCAGGACACAUUGCUGAUAAAUUUCACUAUAUUCUUGAAUGUAAAGAAUUAACGAAUUUAAGAGAGAAAUAUUUAAAUGCUAGAUAUUGUACAUCACCAAAUGUCACCAAGUUUUGCCAACUUAUGUCGAAUACUAACUUUACAACAUUAAAAGAUCUAUGUAUGUUUAUUUUAAGAAUAUAUGAUAUAGUCGGAUAGCUAGACUUGAUCAAGUCUCUAUGUUGUUUUUAUUACAGUAUCAUUUUAUCCAAAUUUUACUGUGUUUCUCUGCUCUCUACCAUACUUAAUGUCACCAAACAUAGUUUCGGUCUAUAAAUUACUGACGUGCAUAUACAAAACAAAGAUGGCGAAAGUGAACAAAGAAAGUGGGGUUGAAUUACACAUAAAACCUAAAAGCUCAACACGUCAAAUUCCGGAAAAAUUGUUAAUAGAAUACCGGGUAGUUGUACAAUAAUUAAUCGAGAAGGCAUAAAUUACUUUAUGUUGCACAUAAAUACAAUUAUACCUUCCUCUUUAUGUCUACCUUAUGUUUUCCUCCCUAAACAUCUCCAUGAGUCUACUCUGCUAUGUUUUUUGCUAAGUUUUACUAAAUAAGUACUAAGUCAGAUUGUGUUGAAAUUAGCAUUUAUUACAAAUGCCAAACAGAAUCACAAUAUUCAAAAUAUAAAUGUCACACUUGUUGGAAUUAAAGUAACAUUUAUCUUAUUUAGACUAACAAAUCACACAAUUAUGGAUAUGAAAACAUAAACAAUAUGAUAAUGGAGUACAAAUGGCAAAAAAGAUGGAGCUAUUCGGCAUAAAACAGGCCACCAACUUGACCAUAUCUAAAAAUGUGGGCAAGUGCCCCAUCCAGAGGAGACGAAAUGGAAAUACAGUUCCAACAUCUAACAAAUGAUUUAAUUGAAAAAAUAUACUCUAUAAUGUACAAAGAAAUCUGAAUUAGUGUUCUUCAACUUCAAACACAAAAAAUAACCUGUUGGAGAGUGCUGCCUCAUUCAGUCACUCAAUUAAUUGCAUAACAAGACCCUAACAAUGUACAAUCUGAAUAUAUGUGUAGAUUAAGAGAUGGCAUGUAUGGUCCAUUAUGUUUGGCAUUAUCAAAAGUAUUAAAGAGAGCACUGAUUAUUAAACAUAGAGACUUGAGCAAGUCUAUCGGAUAGCCUCCCAUGUUUCUUUCCAUUAUACCAUAUUUUGUAUAUUGUAUAUUUAAGUCUACAGAUUAUCUCUUUAAUAUAUAACCUCUGACAAGUGUAUAGUUGUAAUGAUGUGUAUGUUUCUCAUGUACCAUUAUAGGGUUUGAGUGAAUAAACUGAACUUGAACACAA